rnacentral:rRNA from 1 species
AUGGUUAUGGGCUUUACAUAUAAUCAGAAGCCGCUUUUGGGAUGUGGGCUUGCAACUGGGCAAAACCGUGUUUGGUCGGGCUUCGAGAUUCACGUUGAGAAUAGUCAGGAAUCCCAACUUAACGAAAGCCCUCACCUUAAAGUCAAACAUCUCCCUUGCAUCUCUCAACCUCAUCAUGGACUUGCUCUGCUAGUAUUCCUGACAUCUCUAGUUCCGCAUAAAUGUUGUAACAUAUGUUUGAUUCUUCUCUCAUCAUCCCCUCAAUUUGAUCAUCUCAAUGCCACCUAUCUAGUACUUCUUUUUCCCCAAAAGGCGAUGUAUCUAGUAUACUGGGCUAGUGCUCCAAGUAUGUUAAAAUGA